AUGUGGACCAGCAGCAUCCCGAGCGUCUCUCUCAUGAUGCCUUUCCCUUCCCCAGUUUUGCCUUCCCAGAUCUCUGCCUUUCCCCAGAAGGAAGAGGAGAAAAAUGACCAAGUUCCAGUUCCCCAGACGCAAUUGUUUUUUCGCAUGUGCUGCCUCACAUUUUGUGCAAAGAGUGUCUGAAGAACGGCUUGUGCAACACAGUCCAACUGGUACUGAGCUCGGAGAAAAUGUAAGGAAGAUUGUAUUCCUUCUUCUUCUAUUUUUUUGGUAAAAGUUUGUGAUGGAUGAGUAUGAGUUCUUUUUUUUUACACUCUGGUCCAAUUAAAUUCAGGCCCCCUUUCAGGAACAGUUUAUGAGGCCCAUCUUUGAGGUUUAUUUUGACCCUGGGAGGGCUCUUCUUAGCUAUUCCUUUCUCUGAUUCUCUCUGGAAAGAAACUGGAUUGUGGUUUAGCUUGUUGCUCUCAUGGAGCUGUGAACCUCCCUUUAGUUGCUUACUACCAAAAUAAUGAUUUCUGAGAGUACCUUUGGGUUUCCAUUGUCCCAAUUCUCUUACAAAUAAAGAUAUGUAUGGGAAGAAUUUCUGAGCUCUC
rnacentral:lncRNA from 1 species